rnacentral:rRNA from 1 species
CACAAGCGGUGGAGCAUGUGGUUUAAUUCGAUGCAACGCGAAGAACCUUACCUGGUCUUGACAUAUCUAGAAUCCUGCAGAGAUGCGGGAGUGCCUUCGGGAAUUAGAAUACAGGUGCUGCAUGGCUGUCGUCAGCUCGUGUCGUGAGAUGUUGGGUUAAGUCCCGCAACGAGCGCAACCCUUGUCCUUAGUUACCAGCGGGUUAAGCCGGGAACUCUAAGGAUACUGCCAGUGACAAACUGGAGGAAGGCGGGGACGACGUCAAGUCAUCAUGGCCCUUACGACCAGGGCUACACACGUGCUACAAUGGUAGGUACAGAGGGCAGCUACACAGCGAUGUGAUGCGAAUCUCAAAAAGCCUAUCGUAGUCCAGAUUGGAGUCUGCAACUCGACUCCAUGAAGUAGGAAUCGCUAGUAAUCGCGGAUCAGAAUGCCGCGGUGAAUACGUUCCCGGGCCUUGUACACACCGCCCGUCACACCAUGGGAGUUGAUUGCACCAGAAGUGGUUAGC